GAGCAUUCAAACAGGACCCCAAAGCCAGACAGGUUGGGCAGCGGAGGGCUGUUGACCCUCUGGGAGCUGAAGGGGGAGAGAGGGACAAGUAAGGGCGCGUCCCGCCUCUCGAGUUGCCUCCCCUUGCUGCCUUCUCUUCCUCAAGUCUUUCCUGCUGAUGCCUCUCUACUCAAGGACUAUUACUACCACCUCCCCACCCCUCUCCGACUGAUCUCUGUGCUGUCAGAACCCCAUCCAACAUGACUUCCAAACUCUGUGCUCAGGUGUGGAGAUACAGAUAUGAAAAGGACACAGUUCCUGCCAUCUAGGAUCACUGCCUUGAAGGAGACAGACAUGAAUGCCCUGGAACGCUCCACUCGUCCAGCCGGGCCUUCUCCUUCUGGUCUUUCCGAGGCACGGAAGGCGGGGCCUGCUUCACCGGACAGAUCACUCGAAACCCCGUUGGUCGAUACGAAAGCAUCUGAUGAGCUCAUUGGAUGAGCCUGGAGGAACGCCACACCCCAUUGGCCUAUCCCUGGCCGCCUUGCCAGCCUGGCCCCUGCCCCAGCACCCAUCCAGUGGCCAUAGCCGCUGGGAGUCAACUUGGCCUCCUCACCCGUCGCUUGCAGUGGUUCCUGCUCAGCCCAGGCCUCAUCCUCUGAACACGUCGUGUCACCAGCCUUCUCCGUGACCUUCUGGAAGGCUGAAUAGGGUAAUGCGGGCUUCAGUGUUACUUCCGGCACCCGUGAAUGACAGAUUGCCAUUGUAUC